rnacentral:rRNA from 1 species
CGCCAGUGGAAUAUCGCUCGUUUCAAAGAUUAAGCCAUGCAUCGUCUGAGCAUGCGCUGAAGUAAAGUGAAGCCGCGAAUAGCUCAUUACAACAGCCGUUGUUUCUUGGAUCUCUUCUCUACUUGGAUAACUGUGGUAAUUCUAGAGCUAAUACAUGCAAUCAAGCCCUGAUCGUGAGUGACGGGCGCAUUUAUUAGAACAAGACCAUCUGGCUUCGUGCCAUAUGUUGGUGACUCUGAAUAACUGAGCCGAUCGCACGGGCUCGUCCCGGCGACGUAUCUUUCAAGUGUCUGCCUUAUCAGGUUUCGUUGGCGGUUUAUGUGACCGCCAAGCCUGUAACGGGUAACGGAGGAUCAGGGUCUGACUCCGGAGAGGGAGCCUGAGAAACGGCUACCACUUCUAAGGAAGGCAGCAGGCGCGCAAAUUACCCAUUCUUGGCUCAAGGAGGUAGUGACGAAAAAUACCAAGGUGAGGCUCAUUGAGCUUCACCAUUGGAAUGAGAACAAUCUAAAUCCUUUAACGAGGAUCUAGU